rnacentral:rRNA from 1 species
UACAGAGGUCUCAAGCGUUGUUCGGAUUCAUUGGGCGUAAAGGGUGCGUAGGCGGCGUGGUAAGUCGGGUGUGAAAUCUCGGAGCUUAACUCCGAAACUGCAUUCGAUACUGCCGUGCUUGAGGACUGGAGAGGAGACUGGAAUUUACGGUGUAGCGGUGAAAUGCGUAGAUAUCGUAAGGAAGACCAGUGGCGAAGGCGGGUCUCUGGACAGUUCCUGACGUGAGGCACGAAGGCCAGGGGAGCAAACGGG